rnacentral:misc_RNA from 1 species
AACGCACCUUGCACUCCUUGGUAUUCCGAGGAGUAUGCCUGUUUGAGUGUCAUGAAAUCAUCAAACCUCAUAGUUAUUUUUUUAAUUACUUUAAGGCUUGGAUUUGGAAGUUGCUGGCAAAUGUCGGCUCUUCUUAAAUAAAUUAGCUGCUUGUCCGUGAGUUGGCUCAGAGUGUGAUAAGUAUCUACACUUGGUGGCUGCUCGCAUUGGAUGUGGCUUCUAAUCGUCUCUUGAGACAACUUUUUAAGAUCUGACCUCAAAUCAGGUAGGACUACCCGCUGAACUUAA